GACAGCAUUAAGAGAGAAACCAGAAGAUAUGUUUUAAGAAGAAAGUUAAAUGAUAAUUUUCUGAAAAACUGUAUGAGAAAGUAAGGAAAAAGGGGUAGAUAUAAAGAAAGAGCGAGCGAUGGAAGAGCAAGUCAAAGGAACAGCACGAAAAGAAAGAACGGUGGCAGACAGAUGGACAUACAGGGUGUAAAGUAAUGGAGGAAGAGGUCCAGACAUACAGGGUGUAAAGUAAUGGAGGAAGAGGUCCAGACAUACAGGGUGUAAAGUAAUGGAGGAAGAGGUCCAGACAUACAGGGUGUAAAGUAAUGGAGGAAGAGGUCCAGACAUACAGGGUGUAAAGUAAUGGAGGAAAAGGUCCAGACAUACAGGGUGUAAAGUAAUGGAGGAAAAGGUCCAGACAUACAGGGUGUAAAGUAAUGGAGGAAGAGGUCCAGACAUACAGGGUAUAAAGUAAUGGAGGAAGAGGUCCAGAAGGUGGACAUACAGGGUGUAAAGUAAUGGAGGAAGAGGUCCAGACAUACAGGGUGUAAAGUAAUGGAGGAAGAGGUCCAGACAUACAGGGUGUAAAGUAAUGGAGGAAGAGGUCCAGACAUACAGGGUAUAAAGUAAUGGAGGAAGAGGUCCAGAAGGUGGACAUACAGGGUGUAAAGUAAUGGAGGAAGAGGUCCAGACAUACAGGGUGUAAAGUAAUGGAGGAAGAGGUUCAGACAUACAGGGUGUAAAGUAAUGGAGGAAGAGGUCCAGACAUACAGGGUGUAAAGUAAUGGAGGAAGAGGUCCAGACACAGAUGGACAUACAGGGUGUAAAGUAAUGGAGGAAGAGGUCCAGACAUACAGGGUGUAAAGUAAUGGAGGAAGAGGUCCAGACACAGAUGGACAUACAGGGUGUAAAGUAAUGGAGGAAGAGGUCCAGACAUACAGGGUGUAAAGUAAUGGAGGAAGAGGUCCAGACACAGAUGGACAUACAGGGUGUAAAGUAAUGGAGGAAGAGGUCCAGACAUACAGGGUGUAAAGUAAUGGAGGAAGAGGUCCAGACAGAU